CCAGACUCCUACGGGAGGCAGCAGUGGGGAAUAUUGGACAAUGGGGGGAACCCUGAUCCAGCGACGCCGCGUGAGUGAAGAAGUAUUUCGGUAUGUAAAGCUCUAUCAGCAGGGAAGAAAAUGACGGUACCUGACUAAGAAGCCCCGGCUAACUACGUGCCAGCAGCCGCGGUAAUACGUAGGGGGCAAGCGUUAUCCGGAUUUACUGGGUGUAAAGGGAGCGUAGGUGGCAUGGUAAGCCAGAAGUGAAAACCCGGGGCUCAACCCCGCGGAUUGCUUUUGGAACUAUCAGGCUGGAGUGCUGGAGGGGUAAGCGGAAUUCCUAGUGUAGCGGUGAAAUGCGUAGAUAUUAGGAGGAACACCGGUGGCGAAGGCGGCUUACUGGACAGAAACUGACACUGAGGCUCGAAAGCGUGGGGAGCAAACAGGAUUAGAUACCCUAGUA
rnacentral:rRNA from 1 species